GUACACUCCUACGGGAGGCAGCAGUGGGGAAUUUUGAACAAUGGGCGAAAGCCUGAUCCAGCAAUGCCGCGUGAGUGAAGAAGGCCUUCGGGUUGUAAAGCUCUUUUGUCAGGGAAGAAACGGUGAAAGCUAAUAUCUUUUGCUAAUGACGGUACCUGAAGAAUAAGCACCGGCUAACUACGUGCCAGCAGCCGCGGUAAUACGUAGGGUGCAAGCGUUAAUCGGAAUUACUGGGCGUAAAGCGUGCGCAGGCGGUUUUGUAAGUCUGAUGUGAAAUCCCCGGGCUCAACCUGGGAAUUGCAUUGGAGACUGCAAGGCUAGAAUCUGGCAGAGGGGGGUAGAAUUCCACGUGUAGCAGUGAAAUGCGUAGAUAUGUGGAGGAACACCGAUGGCGAAGGCAGCCCCCUGGGUCAAGAUUGACGCUCAUGCACGAAAGCGUGGGGAGCAAACAGGAUUAGAAACCCCAGUAGUCCCAUGAU
rnacentral:rRNA from 1 species